rnacentral:misc_RNA from 1 species
UCUUCAUAAAAACAAAUACAGAAGGUUCACCGGAAAACAUAUUCGUUGCAAAUCAUCACUACUACAAAAGGUUCACCGGAAACCAUGGCGUCACCGUCGUCGUCGUCGACCAACGUCAUGCUGGCGAUCUUCGAGAAGAAAACCGUAUCACUCGAUCUCUAUCGUCCAUUACGAAACUACAUCGUUUUCAACUACUCCGAACGCGAAGCUCAAAACCUCGAAGAUGAUCUCCAAACUAUCAAACAGUACCGUUCCGAAAUCGAACGUGUUCCCGGCGAUUCGCUACCUGCUCGCCGUGACAUGUUGCAAAAUUACUAUAAAGCCCUCUGCGCUGUUGAAUCUCGCUUCCCUAUAUCGCCUGAUAAGGAUCAUAUCAAUUCCGUUUAUUUUACUUGGUACGAUACUUUCAAGAUCAAGCAGAAAGCUGUGCAGCAGAACAUUCAUCUAGAGAAAGCUGCAGUUUUGUUUAAUCUAGGGGCAGUGCACAGUCAGAUGGGAUUGAGUAUGGAUCGAUCUGCAGUGGAGGGGCGAAGGCAGGCAUCACAUUCCUUCAUUGCUGCAGCUGGGGCAUUUGCCUUCCUGAGAGACAAUGUGGCAAUGAAGGCAUCGAUGGGUACCUCCACCACGGUUGACAUGUCAGUGGAAUGUGCUGGGAUGUUGGAAAGACUCAUGCUAGCGCAGGCUCAGGAGUGUGUUUUUGAGAAUACUAUUGCCAAGGGAAGCACACCUGGAGUCUGUGCAAAGAUUUCAAGACAGGUAGGGAUUUAUUAUGAGGAAGCCUUGGCAGCAUUAAAUGUUGCACCUUUAACCUACCACUUUGACAAGGGUUGGCUGGCUCAUGUUCAGCUAAAGGCUGCCUUGUUUUAUGCUGAGGCCUGCUAUAGGUGCGGUAUGGAGCUCCAUGAGAAAGAAGAAAUUGCAGAGGAAAUUGCGAGGUUGAAGAGUGGGAUAAGUGCAUUAUCGGAGGCCAAAAAAAGUUCUUCCAAAGGAGCAGCACAGCAGCUCUUGGAUGCAAUUAAUAAGCUAGACACUAAUUUAAAUCAAAACUUGGCGAGAGCUGUGAAGGAGAAUGAUAGAGUAUACCUCAUGAGAGUUCCACAAGCCAGUUCUUUGCCUCCUCUUCCAGCAUUUGCGAUGGUCAAACCUAUGCCAAUGAAUGAUGUUCUGGACGCAAGCAAGGAGAAGAUGUUUGCUAGUCUUGUUCCUGAUAACAGUGCUAAAGCUCUGUCCAGGUACACCGAAAUGGUUGAUGACGUCAUUCGGGCUCAAGCUGAGAGAUUGCAACAGGGAAGUGAGCUAGCUCGAGUAAAGCUAAAGGAAAUGGACUUGCCUGAUUCUAUUCUGGCCUUGGAGGGAAAUUUAUCACUACCUGCGGCUCUAAAAGAAGAUGUAGAGGCAGUGCAAAUUUGUGGUGGUCCAGCUGGUUUGGAUGCCGAGAUGCAGCAACUCAGAGAUCUGAAGAGGGUGAACCAGGAGUUGCUGGUCCAAACAGAGGAGCUUUUGCAAAAAGAAGCAACGGAAGAUACACAGUUUAGAACUCAAUUCGGAACCCGAUGGACAAGGCCUCAAUCUACUACCUUAACAAAAAACCUGCAGGAUAGGUUAAACAGGUUUGCAGCAAACCUGAAGCAAGCUGCAGAAAGUGAUGCUAGGAUUGAGCGAUCAGUUAGGGAUCAUGCAGCACUCAUGUCAAUCCUUGACUGUCGUCCAAUCGAAUCUGCUCUUCCAACCUUGGCAAGACCAAUCUUGUCUUUGGACGCCACUGAAGAUGCCAUUGUGGGAGCCCUGAAGCAGAGCCUGAGGCAACUGGAAACUCUUGGUGCUCAGCGUGCCGGUCUGGAAGAUGUGCUGAAAGAGAUGAAGAGGAAGGAUGAUAUACUUCCAAAAUUGAUGACAUUCACGGGCUCCCAGGAGGAUCUUUUCAGGAAGGAGAUAGCAAAAUAUGAUCAUCUUUGUGAAGAAAUUUCUCAAAACCUCGAGGCACAAGAACAGUUGCUUCUGCAAAUUCAGGCUCAAAAUGAUGAGUUUGCUUCUAUUUUCAAUCUUGAAGACUAUAAAGUUUCCCGCGAGAGAAUCUAUAAGCAGAUUGAAGCUGCCAUUAUGAAAUAUCAAGAAAUCAAGGAAAAUAUCAAUGAGGGAUUGAAGUUUUAUGUAACCCUUCAGGAGGCUAUCACUAAUGUGAAACAGCAAUGUAGUGAUUUUGUGAUGACAAGAAACAUGCAGUGCCGAGAAAUGAUUGAAGAU